UACGGAGGGUGCAAGCGUUAUCCGGAUUCACUGGGUUUAAAGGGUGCGUAGGUGGGUAGGUAAGUCAGUGGUGAAAUCCCCGAGCUUAACUUGGGAACUGCCGUUGAUACUAUCUAUCUUGAAUAUCGCGUAGGUAAGCGGAAUAUGUCAUGUAGCGGUGAAAUGCUUAGAUAUGACAUAGAACACCAAUUGCGAAGGCAGCUUACUUCAAGAUUAUUGACACUGAGGCACGAAAGCGUGGGGAUCAAACAGG
rnacentral:rRNA from 1 species